GAAUAUUACAGCCCUAUUUAUAUUUAUCUAAUCCUUAUAAACCCAGGAUUCUUAAUACGAAUAAGUUUUACAUAACUAUCCCAAUAGUAAAAACAACCAUCAGCAACCUCCUAUUAACCUCCUGCAAAUAGGAUUUGCAUUCUAACCUCACGAUGAAGCUCCCCCAGUGAAUUUCCUUCUAACUAAUAUGAGCUAUAAGUCAAGUAAUUCUCAAUAAUUUAACAUAACCUAGAGAAGUCAUGCACUGCAAUACAACACAUUAAAGCCAAAGCCUUAUAUGCAAUAUCAUAAGCACACAUGGAACCGCUCAACAUUUGUGGCUAGAGAAUCAUAUGAACAAUUUCCAAUUCCUAACACAAGGUACAAUUUCCAAUUCCUAACACUAGGACACAUGCAAGGAAUUAACUUUCAAAAACCCUUAACUGGAUAACUAAUACAGGGAGCAAAAGUUUAGCAAUCUCAAGUCAGUAAAACCAGAAAUUGGUAAAAGCUAACAAAAGCUAACAAAAGCUAACAAUUCCAAACAUAUAAUCAUCUAUCCAGAAUGUGAGAUUCAUUUCAAAUAUAACAUCUAUAAGCAGUUUAAAGAGAAAAUAUUUUAUGGUGGAAUGGCGUGAAGAAAGCAAUAAACCAUACUCUAUAAUGCUUUCCA
rnacentral:misc_RNA from 1 species